AUCAUGGAGCAGACCCUCAUGGCUUGGUGCUGUCUUUGCAAAGCAUUGUUCCUGAGAGUAGCUUCAAUAAGCCACGUGGAUGCAAUUAUCCAGCUCAGGGGUUGUUUCUUAUGGAAUCCAACCUAUGACUGUUGACGCCAGGAGUGGUCCUGGGAAGGAGACUCUGAAAAUUUUGGAGCUGGCUGGGAAUAAGAGUCCUGUCGCUGUUGGUAGGUAGAAUAUGGUUAGCCACUGUCCUGCAAUUAUUAAAACUCUCAUAGGUGAUAAAUUGAUGUGGGAAUGGGC
rnacentral:lncRNA from 1 species